AUUGAACGCUGGCGGCAUGCUUUACACAUGCAAGUCGAACGGUAACAGGCCGCAAGGUGCUGACGAGUGGCGAACGGGUGAGUAAUGCAUCGGAACGUGCCCAGUCGUGGGGGAUAACGCAGCGAAAGCUGCGCUAAUACCGCAUACGAUCUAUGGAUGAAAGCGGGGGACCGUAAGGCCUCGCGCGAUUGGAGCGGCCGAUGUCAGAUUAGGUAGUUGGUGGGGUAAAGGCUCACCAAGCCAACGAUCUGUAGCUGGUCUGAGAGGACGACCAGCCACACUGGGACUGAGACACGGCCCAGACUCCUACGGGAGGCAGAAGGGGGGAAUUUUGGACAAUGGGCGCAAGCCUGAUCCAGCAAUGCCGCGUGCAGGAAGAAGGCCUUCGGGUUGUAAACUGCUUUUGUACGGAACGAAACGGCUCUGGUUAAUACCUGGGGCUAAUGACGGUACCGUAAGAAUAAGCACCGGCUAACUACGUGCCAGCAGCCGCCGUAAAAC
rnacentral:rRNA from 1 species